rnacentral:lncRNA from 1 species
AAAAUAAACCCUAUGGUCUUGUUUACAGCAGUAGAGUGCACAUUGGUUCCAUAAGUGAGCUUGAGUUCCAAGAUCAAUUUUACUCCUCAAAUUUGAGGGGUUGCAAAUUUGCUAAUUCAUUAGAUAACCUAGAUUUUUGAGGUAAGAAUAAUAUUGAUCUCUGUUUUUGUAACAACCAGUUUGCCCAUAAAUCAAACUUAUGGAAUAAAAGGAACUUCUUAAUAUAUGCUUAGUAAUCCCAGGAUAUUUCAUAAGCUAAUGUAUUUGUCUCAUGUUUUCAUUCAUUUCAUGCAUCUGAAAAUCCUUAAGUGCAGAGGAAGGAGUACACACAUAGCAUUGCUUUUUUGGUUGGGUUGGGUAGAGGGUUUUCUUGGACUAACAUCUUUAAACAAUUUUCACUUGCAGUAGAAAUGAUGUUCAGGCUUUAAGAAAGUAUUGCAAAUUAUUAAUGGAACUAAUUUAUAUUUCCUGACAGUAGAUCAAGUUUAUUUUUGGUUGUUGUAGUCUACUUUUCACUAAACCAAAAUUACUUCUGGUUGUAACUCAGCUGCCACUUUUAA